UUGUGCAUACACACAGCUAACAUCUUUGCCUGAUUGCACUGGGACAAAAGCAUGCUAAUCAUGGAUCCAGUUCUGUCUUGGAAGGCAAGUACAACUUCUGUGCAGCCUCUACUGCUGUAGCACACAUGCUGAAGCUCCAUUGUAAUACUUGAUCAGGAAACGAUCCGGAAACAAAACAUUGAUAAUGAUUCCUGGAGCCUGGGUUAAAUGUCGGAUGCUUGUAACCAAUGAGAUCAGACACACCCUUCUUUUGGGUUGCUUUCAGAUGGUCCUGAUUCCCUCAUGUUUUCAGACAGUUGUGACAGAGGGGGAGCUAUCUGUAGAUAUAUAUUUUUUUUAAUCCCAAAGUUAGAGCUGGAAAUUCUGAGCUUAAUCACUACCUGUUGUCUCGGACCUCAAAGCAAGUGUUUGCAAAUCAGCCUUCAUUAGCAGUGACUCACACAAACCUAGCCAUUGGUGUCAGUAAUGUCUGCAAUGUGCUGUAGGCAGGGGGUGUGCCACUAGUUUUUUUCAGAAAAUACCUAUGAACAUGAAUCUAAAGUGACUGGCAUAAGCUGCCAGUGUGUAAAAAGUUGAUGGCUAAAUAGCUUGGAGUGGCACUGUGGCUUCCACCCACCCACCCCCACCAUGAAAAUUAUGUACCUUAGAGGAGACUUAGGGGAUGCUGCUGAACCUGCAUGCAGUUGUUUUAGGUGUGGAGGACAAACUCCUGCAUGCUGUCUGAAGAACAGCCAGUUUGGAACCCGGUGUAUGCUGCCAGCAGCUCUCAUUCCACAUCUAGCUGGAAGGUGAGCAAAAUGCUGGCAGGCUCUGGAGCUGAGUAAUGGUAAUGUCACUGAUUCUUCUCUUCAGUUAGGUGACACACCAGGCACUCGCAUUAGACUCUAAGAGCAUUUGACCAAAAGCCUCUCUCCAAUUUAAAUGUACCAAGUGGGGUCAGUUUGUCAUGCUCUUGGGUGAGCCGAUGCUGGAAAAAGAAACCAAGUGAAUUUUGAACUACUGCUUGUUAGUGAGCCCAGCUGCUCUUCUUGAGGAUCAGGGUUUGAUCCACUCAGCUGAUUGCGCCGCUGCCUGAAGUGGAGACAAAGUGAAUUCUUCUGGAAAAGAUGGUGAGUGUGACCAGGAUCAUUAACAGGUAACUUGCUGUAUGGAUAAGCUGUUAAUACAAUCACACUGAAAAUAAACUUUCCCUCAGUUUAGGGAUUUGUUUAAAU
rnacentral:lncRNA from 1 species